rnacentral:rRNA from 1 species
CGCGUAGGCGGCCCGUUAAGUCUGGAGUGAAAGUCCUGCUUCCAAGGUGGGAAUUGCUUUGGAUACUGAUGGGCUGGAGUGCAGGAGAGGAAAGCGGAAUUACCGGUGUAGCGGUGAAAUGCGUAGAGAUCGGUAGGAACACCAGUGGCGAAGGCGGCUUUCUGGACUGAAACUGACGCUGAGGCGCGAAAGCGUGGGGAGCAAACA